GGAUAACCUGCCCUUGGGUCCGGCAUAACCCCGGGAAACUGGGGAUAAUUCCGGAUAACGCACAUAUGCUGGAAUGCUUUAUGCGUAAAAUGGAUUCGUCUGCCCAAGGAUGGGUCUGCGGCCUAUCAGGUAGUAGUGGGUGUAAUGUACCUACUAGCCUACAACGGGUACGGGUUGUGAGAGCAAGAGCCCGGAGAUGGAUUCUGAGACAUGAAUCCAGGCCCUACGGGGCGCAGCAGGCGCGAAAACUUUACAAUGCGGGAAACCGUGAUAAGGGGACACCGAGUGCCAGCAUCAUAUGCUGGCUGUCCAGAUGUGUAAAAUACAUCUGUUAGCAAGGGCCGGGCAAGACCGGUGCCAGCCGCCGCGGUAACACCGGCGGCCCGAGUGGUGAUCGUGAUUAUUGGGUCUAAAGGGUCCGUAGCCGGUUUGGUCAGUCCUCCGGGAAAUCUGAUGGCUCAACCAUUAGGCUUUCGGGGGAUACUGCCAGGCUUGGAACCGGGAGAGGUAAGAGGUACUACAGGGGUAGGAGUGAAAUCUUGCAAUCCCUGUGGGACCACCUGUGGCGAAGGCGUCUUACCAGAACGGGUUCGACGGUGAGGGACGAAAGCUGGGGGCACGAACCGGAUUAGAUACCCGGGUAGUCCCAGCCGUAAACGAUGCUCGCUAGGUGUCAGGCAUGGCGCGACCGUGUCUGGUGCCGCAGGGAAGCCGUGAAGCGAGCCACCUGGGAAGUACGGCCGCAAGGCUGAAACUUAA
rnacentral:rRNA from 1 species